UGCUUUAUAGGGAGGCCUCCCAUGG
rnacentral:piRNA from 1 species